UACAGAGGUCUCAAGCGUUGUUCGGAUUUAUUGGGCGUAAAGGGCGCGCAGGCGGCCACGCACGUCCGUUGUGAAAUCGCCCGGCUCAACUGGGCGGGGUCGGCGGAUACGGCGUGGCUGGAGCAAGCUAGGGGGUAGUGGAAUUCCCGGUGUAGUGGUGGAAUGCGUAGAUAUCGGGAGGAACACCAGUGGCGAAGGCGGCUACCUGGGGCUUUGCUGACGCUGAGGCGCGAAAGCGUGGGGAGCGAUCCGG
rnacentral:rRNA from 1 species